CUUUCGAAUGCAAUUUUUCUCGAAAACGAAUUCUUCGAUUCGAUUUCAUUAUUUUUUUUUUCUUUCUCUUUUUUUAUCUUUUUUUAUUAUGGAACGAGAUAGAAUCUUCCCACUUAUACGAAGAUUUACGAUGGGCGGUGUGCGCGAGACUACGCGUACGAACAUCUCGUCGUCGUAACAUCAUUCUCGAGCGUCACCUUACAUUUUCACCGAGUUUCUUUCUUUUCUCUUCUUUUUUAUUUCGAACGAAGACUGGCGCCGUCUAUAUAAUAGCCGUUCUUCAGUACUUACGAGCACGUCGAGCGUCGAUCGUAGCAGACUUAACGAUAAUUAUCGCUUUGGCACGAGACGCAAGAAACGAGAAAGACAAACAGAGACAGAGGAUCCACGGUACUGACUGGUUUCGAGUGGAGGAUGCGAAAAUAGCGUUGGCCCAUACCUGGAAAACGAGACUCUCUCUCUCUCUCUCUUUUCCUUUUUCUCUCUCUCUAUCUUUUUCCUCGUCGAGUUACGCGUAAACAGAGACAAGCAUCCCGUGAUUCGUUUCAUACAAUAACGCUGCCAGAGUUCUGGCGAUUUUUGUCUCCUUAGUUAUCCUAAACGUGAUUACUGUCACGACUAUUCGAGAAUACUAAUUCUACCGAAAGAGCAUGGAGCAAUACAACGUGUUUCAUUGGUUCUUACUUGACACUCGCAUGUACCUAUUUAUUUAAUAAGACGAGUAAUAAGGAGGGAAUGAUAGGAAGAUUAAUCAUGAAAAUACGCAUCUUCCUUUGAAUUUAAUUCUUGAGAAUUAAAUAGUGAAAUAAUAAUGUCUCCAACUGUUUCUAGACAUAAACGCACAUGUUUCACGAACAUAUAGAACAUAUUUCAUCGUUCAAGAGAAUGGAAUUUACGAUUGUAAGACGUUUAAUAGUACGCCACCUGUUUCCAUAAAUUUAUAUCACACGGAAGGAAUUUAUAUUAGCCGGAUAGAGGAUUUAUACUGACAUCGUGUACGUGUAUCGCUUGGAAGAACAAUUGGUAGAUUAAGAAUCGCGUAAUCUCGUUAAUAAUCAUGCGACAUCAAUGACUUAAUGCGCCAUAAAACAACAGUAAAACCGCAUUCCCAUUUGUGGCAGAACAGCUUCUCCGUUGAAAUACUUGACGAGACAAAAACUAACAAAACUUUCAACCACGAUAACAUUUCUAGAAAACAGACUAUUGUUAAACGAACAUCCGACUUUUAAAAUUUUAAAAUACCAUUUCUGAGUUUAAGUUUCAACUAUUUCUAGGAAGUGGGAGGUAGCCUUUUCUCGUAAGCUUAUGACAGUGGUCACUAGCGAGCCCCGAGAAUUCUUCAAGCUCCUUUGAAGGAUUUUUCAAUCAUUCAAACUCUAUUUUUACUUGCUUUUGUGGUUGAAAUGUUCAAUUCUUUGGUAUAUGUGAUAUUAACGUUAGAAGUGCCAGCGGCUUCAGCAUAAAAAUUGUUCCAAAGAAAUUAAAAUGAAAGAUAUAUGAAUAAACACCUGCAUAAAUAAUGCAAAGAUAAAAAUAAAUUUACACUCCAUAUAACUUAUAAAAAUCAUUCGAAUCCCUGAAAAAGAAUCAUUGUCAAUGAUCUAUGGAAAAUUUAGGAAGCAUCGAUAACUCAUGAAAGAUCUAUGAAGAAUCUAUAAUUUAUAAGAAAUCUACGAAGAAUCUGUAAUCUCUGAAAGAAAAAGAAAGAAAAUCCAGAAAGAGCCUACGAUUAAUGAAAAGUCUACGAAGAAUCUACAACCUACGAGAAAUUUCAAAUUUGUUAGCCUGAUCGCUUUAAAAUUUUAAUCUUAACGAAACUGCCUGUAGAUACGAAUGGUAUAAUAUUACACAGAUUAACGGAUUCCAGCAGGAUCGGUACGAGACAGAGCAGAAACUUUGCCAUCAUCUGCAAUUCCAUCAACUCAUUUUUCGAGCUGACAGCUUGGAAAAUCGGGCACUGAGUCUGCGGAUCCUCUUGUCGUUACACAACGCAUGUCGUUGUGAGAGACGUUUACGUUGGCUUGAGAGGAAAAUCAGCGAAGCCUCAGGUUUGGCAGCAUCUCUGUUCCACCGCGAAUAGAUCCGUACGUAUAUGGUGGAGCUCGCAAAGUCCGUGGUGCGUUCAACGGAUCGGUGGCGAACGUCGCAACGAAUAAGAUGGUAUGAAACGCCAAGAAUCGUGGGACGCACCUGUGCGGCGACCCGACGUCCCAUCACGGACGCAAAUAAACGGCGUCGCGCCGUCUGCGGCUCAGCCGACACUUUACUCGACCGAAUGGCCAAAGACGACCCCGAUCAUCCUCCUUUUCCAACGCUGCGACUGUCCCUUACCUCCCUGAUCGGCUAUCGGAUCUCGGAAAUUCCUACUCUGUCUGCUACGAUAAUUAGUCCAAUUCGCUAAAUGUCUGAUUCACCAUUGCGCAACAAAGCCUAGUCACCGCGCAAUUGUUUUUGCACUAACGAUCACGUAUUCUUAAACCUUCGGUUGGUUCAUUCGAGCUGUUACGUUCGCUUCACAAGCAACGUGUAAGGUAUUUAGGCCUGCAAUCUAGAUUUUUAGUUGAAACUUUAUAUACUGGUAGAUUUUGUUAUUGUUUUCUUUUUUUUUUAAGAACGAUGCUUGUAGGAUCAGAUGUUUGAUAUUUUCCAAAGUAUUCGUUAUUGGACUCGCAGUGAUGUGGGAAAGUAAUAAGAUUAAUAAUCAUGGAGUUUAUGCCCGUUUGAUAAUCACUACUUCAUAAUUACUAGUCUGAGCAUCAAAUGGGCAAUCAACCAUUAGUCUGAAUAUUUUAUGUCAGGAGAAAGAACUUGUGAAAAGAAAAGUAUUAUAGUACGCUGGUAGUAACUGGUUUAUGGUAACACUGGUAGAUUUCACAUUAUUGUGUUUAUAAAAAUAUCGCAUUAUUCAGACGUUAUAUAUUUUUCAAGAUAUUAGUAAAGUAGUCAUACAACUAGUUACGAAGCUUGUAACUCCACUUCGACGAUAUUAUCAAGAGAGAAAUAUUACAGUCGUACGCUAGUAGAUUUUGUCAAUUUGUUUAUGAAAAUGCCUCGUCGUAUUCAACGUUUUUCGACAUAUUCAUGAUUAAAAUUUUACUACUGUAAAGUAGUCGGACAUAUAUAUUACUAUGCAGCUUGUGCUUCAUACUUGUAAGAAUCACCCAUUGAUAGCAAAGAAGAAAUAUAUGUUAAUGAGUGAUACUGUUCCUCGUGAGGAUACGUCGAUUUCUUUACAUGUAUGUAUCUACCGACAGACUAGUGGAAGGGUAAAAGUCUGACACGAUCGCUCGUGAGAACGAUGAAUGGAGAGCAUUUAAUGAAGAUAUGCUAGAAGUAACUGAGACUUUUCAGAAACGUACUGCUGUUAUAAAAUCGAGACUGAUCGUAUCGUAAUAAGAAACUUUAAAUGAAUUUAUUGUUUCAUCGAUGUAAAAUAUCAAAAAACCUCAUAUUUCGAUAACUUACAUCUCUAUAUGUAUAUACAUUCACGACUUUCAGCUCUUACCUUAUUUACCUAUUGCCGUGCUAUUGCGUUGUAUCGCUAUUAAUUCCUAAUUAUGAAACCAAAGUAAGAAAUCGGGGAAACAUGCAACCGAUUGCAAAAUUAUAAUUGAUGAGAAUUGCAGUUUCUAUCUUUCUAAAACUUCGCGAAGGAUUAAAAAGUGUAGCUGCGAUCAUUCCUCUUGUACUUGCCGACAAUUAUUUCGGCGAUAAAAUUCAAUUUCGUCACUACGAAGAAAAUCAGUAAAUCACCAGAGAAGAGUACAAAAACCAUUAUCUGCCUGGUAAGAAUUUCCGAAUGUAUGUUACAACUCGAUGACCGAUGAAAGAACCGACUUGCGUCAGCCACUGUUUUAUACUGCUCGUAUGGGAGGGGUGUCUCUGUUUACAAAAACAAAUUCAUUGACACGGAUUUUUGUUUAAACGUGGAAGAAACGACGUCGCAUCGAUGUUUCAACUCGUGUUACCCGCAUGCCUCUUUAUCGACAAUUUAUCAAGCUAAGUGAUGUGCUUUUUUCAAGAACAUGGCACACGCACAGUUUCGAUGUUUAAUUAAUGUCCGCGUGUUGAAAUUAAUCACUUGUUAUCUAACAGAUACGUGCCGACCAGUGCGUAGUUCUUCAUCGGCUUCCACCUUCCACCCUCGAGCGUGCUUUCUUCGUGGAAAUCGUGUGCGUCAUUGGAACAGUUCUACGUGCGUUAAAAACUGAACGGUGGUUGAAGGAAAUUUUCGAAGCCAGCACUUUCCUCUAGCGUCCACGAUGAGAAAGAAGGGAAGCGUCAACCAUAGAUAUUUAUUUAAAAAGAAGGGAAAAAAAAGAGAGACGAUAACCUAAAUGUUUCCCUAAGAAAGAGCUCAUAAAUCGUUUGGCGCGUUCGCUUGCCGGAAAUGAUAAAAAAGUGAGAAAGAAAGAGUCAUUAAGUCGGAGAUUUUUCUGUAUUUCAUUCAUUGGACACGUGUGUAAUUUUCAUUCAUAAAAAUUCGUCAACUCUUGGGAAUAUUUCUUUCUACCGAGUCUCUUUGGAUAAAAAAUAAUAUUUUACUUAAUUUAACGAGUUUUUCCUCCUUUUUUACAGAUUACAGAACUUUGACGCCAUAAAAAAUGUGCAAACUCUCACGAACAUUUCUUUUUGAAAGGAAUCUUCCAACGAAAUAAUACUUCUUUUAAUUUUAGAACUUUUGCAUGUUCUUUUUUAAGAAUUAAAGAGGUAAUUGCUUCUGGGAGAUCCAAUAAUAUAUCGUUCCUUCUUUGAAACAGACGUACGUGUGACGAACGAGUUUUACGACUCACAGGCGACAGGUACCAACGACUUUUAUAACAGGUAAGAGCAUUGGCAACUUCUUCCUAAUCACCGACGGACCAGUCGCCGGUUCUUUUUCGGAGAAUUCCUUUGCCGUUCGUGGAUGAUGCUGACGUCAUUAGGGACCUACGAUAAACCAGCAAGCAAGUUCCCCGUAGCAAGAGGUCCAGUACGUGAUCACUGUCAUGCAGCGAGUUUUCGUGAACGUGUCCCUUAUAGUUCAACAUGUGUUUCAUAUUUUGACCAUGCACUUUUAAUAAGCAAAAGAACUAGGACAAGACGUUGGAUAUAGUUGAAGUAUAGUUUCUGAUACGUCCACGAUGCAACGUACUUUAUCAUUUCGAUUAUUAUCCGAUGAAGAUUACUCGCGCGUGGAUUAUCUUACACAGCGUGAUAAAAUUAAACAAUCUACACCUGUUAUGAAAUCACGUUCACAGAUAUUUCCAAUAUAUUUAUGUGAUGUUUCGAGGCAGCUUUGGAAAAUCUUUAGUCUUAUGCAAUUAAAGAAUGAUUGAUGAGAAAGCAAAAGCUAGACAAAUCUUUCCAUGAUUUUGCGAUUGUGGACAUUGGAACUAGGAAUUUUUAAAUACAUUUUCAAAUCCAUUAAAAUAUAAAAUGUUGUAUCAAAGAAAAUAAGCUUGCGUCUGCGUGUUGUAGAAAACAAUAAUUUGGAUCUUGAAAGCUACGCUGUUGGAAAUCUAUGAAGGAUCUAAGAUAUACUCCACAAAUUGGCCGUUAUGACCUAACCCCAUUUUGAUCGUCGCGGCAGUUCUCGCGGUAAGAAAUCGCAAUAGCAGAAAAGUGCAAGUUCACGAAGGUUUGCGACAUCUUCUCAAGGAAUACUGAAGUCAUGUGCUUUCGCACCGAUGCAAUUAACACGUGAUUCAUCUGCAAAUUGAUUCUAAUGGAGGUAGAAAUUGGUCGAUGAGACCAUGCGCGACUAUAUUUUGAUUAGAAAUUGCAGCGAUGGUGCGCGUCCUGAGUACGCUAGAAACAAGAAAAUACUACAGCAUCCGACACUACUCGAGUUUAAUGGGAUGUACGCACGGCGAUCACACGUAACUCCCUCGAUACAAUUACAUUUAAUUCAAGUCAUGAAAAUUCCGAAAGGAAUCUCACGGCCCGAUUACGUGACUGCUCCUAUGAACUCACCUGAUUUGCUUCUUGGAAUACGCAACCUCUCACAUCAGCCAACCGCAAAACCGAAACGUCACACAACCAUCCAGGCGAAAUUAUAGCGUUAAAUCAGCGAACGAUCAUCAACUAUAUGAACUCUUGAA